AUUGAACGCUGGCGGCAGGCCUAACACAUGCAAGUCGAACGAGUGGCGGACGGGUGAGUAAUGUCUGGGAAACUGCCUGAUGGAGGGGGAUAACUACUGGAAACGGUAGCUAAUACCGCAUACCAUCGGAUGUGCCCAGAUGGGAUUAGCUAGUAGGUGGGGUAAAGGCUCACCUAGGCGACGAUCCCUAGCUGGUCUGAGAGGAUGACCAGCCACACUGGAACUGAGACACGGUCCAGACGCCGACGGGAGGCAGCAGUGGGGAUGAUGGAACAAGGGGAGCAAGCCUGAUGCAGCCAUGCCGCGUGUAUGAAGAAGGCCUUCGGGUUGUAAAGUACUGUCAGCGGGGAGGCGUUACCCGCAGAAGAAGCACCGGCUAACUCCGUGCCAGCAGCCGCGGUAAUUC
rnacentral:rRNA from 1 species